rnacentral:rRNA from 1 species
UACGAAGGGGACUAGCGUUGUUCGGAAUCACUGGGCGUAAAGCGCACGUAGGCGGAUUCGUAAGUCAGGGGUGAAAUCCCGGGGCUCAACCUCGGAACUGCCUUUGAUACUGCGGGUCUUGAGUCCGAUAGAGGUGGGUGGAAUUCCUAGUGUAGAGGUGAAAUUCGUAGAUAUUCGCAAGAACACCAGUGGCGAAGGCGGCUCACUGGCCCGAUACUGACGCUGAGGCACGAAAGCGUGGGGAGCAAACAGG